rnacentral:rRNA from 1 species
CCAAUAGCGUAUAUUAAAGUUGUUGCAGUUAAAAAGCUCGUAGUUGAAUUUCGGGAUCAAUUAAUUGGUCAUGCCUAUGGUACGUACUGAUUUUAUUGGUUUCUCCCUUCUGACGAACCAUGAUGUCAUUGAUUUGGUGUCGUGGAGAAUCAGGACUGUUACUUUGAAAAAAUUAGAGUGUUUAAAGCAAGCUAACGCUUGAAUACAUUAGCAUGGAAUA